rnacentral:rRNA from 1 species
AAAACAUAGCCCUUGAAAUAAUCAAAGGUGUGACCUGCCCAAUGGCCUUCAAUUUAAGAAAAAUAAAACUUUUCUAAAAAAGCUUAAAGGACGCAGUAUCUUGACUGUGGUAAUGUAGCAUAAUCACUCGCCACUUAAUUGGUGGAUAGUAUGAAUGGUUAAACGAAUAUUACACUGUCUCUAAAAGAAAUCCCAUGAAAUUAAAAUAAUAGUAAAGAUGCUAUUUAAAGCUGUAAGACGAAAAGACCCUAUAGAGCUUAACUACAUUAUGUGUUUUAAAAAAUUAAAUAUAAACUUAAAAAAAUAUACAUCUUGGUAGUUUAGUUGGGGCGACUGUCUUUUAAAAUAAACAAAGACAAGCAAUGUUAAUAAUAAACUUAUUGUAUAAUAUAUAGAUUUAACAAUUAUAAAAAUAGGCUAUAAUGACCCAUUAGAUUUUAAUAACAAAACUAAUGAUUAAUAAAUAAAAGCUACCUUAGGGAUAACAGGAUAAUUUUGUUUUAGAGAUCUAAUCGAAGACAAAGUUUGUCACCUCUAUGUUGAAUUAAGAUAUCCUGAUAGUGCAGAAGCUAUCAA